ACAUUCAGAUGGUAGAGAGGAGAUGGGCACGGGAAUGGAGGGAGUCCAGUUAUGUAACUCCUAAGUACAUGAAGAAAUUUGCAUUACACCCUCCUUGCCCAAGACCUCCAUUGGCACCUGGCCAAGAAGCUGAUCCCACUAGCCUCAAGCGCGGUGAGGACUAUCCAGAUGAAUGGGCCAAGCGGCAAGCCAAGUUGGCCAAAAUGGCCAAGGAAGUAGUGAAGAAAUUCAAUGAAGAUUCUGCUGCUGCCGCUGCUGAGGCCUCUGCUAGCAAGCCCAAGAAGGCUAUGCCAAAGAAGCCUGCUCACAAGCCCAGUUCCUCAGCAAUGCCCUCACGGCCAAGCUCAUCAAAGCCCUCACGGCAUAUUCCUCAAGCAGCUCAAGCCCCCACUGUUGCAAAACCUUCAGCUGCUGCUGCAAAGUCCUCGGUACAUGCGCAUCUCGCCUCUGGCCAAAGGACCACAGGCAUCUCAAUUGCUUCAGGAGCAUCUGCAAGUUCUUCAGCUCCCACAGUCUUCAAAAGGACCAACUUUGCUGAAGACAAAGGCCACUGCUGGACGAGGCACAAGGCCAAGUACUCACAAGAAGCAAGUUGCCUUCCAUGUGUCCUCUAGUGAAGACGAAGCUGAUGAUGAAGAAUUAGCUGAAAUCAUCAGAGUCAGACAGCAAAGGGCCGCUAGAGCCAAAGGCAGUAAUGUGCCUCUUCUGCUGGAUCCCAAGUUGAUCCUGGACUUCAUUGAUCUCUGGCACAAGGACCCCAACACUCCUAUGCCUGGCCAAAGUCACAUGUUGACAGCCUUCAUAGGCGAAGAAAAAUGGAAGUUUGAAAAGGCCAGGCAACUAAAGAAAGCUUAGUAUAAGAAGGAGCGUUUUCUGAAGAAGAAUGUUGUCAAAAUGACAACUGAUGAACUUGUGGCCAUACAAACUGAGAUCAAAGCACUCAGUGAUGAAUUUGAUGCAUACUGUGUAGAUUGGCUAGGAGCCAAAGUUAGAUUCGUCAGAAUGGCAAAGGGAUUCACCUCAAAUGUUGUAGCCUCAACACAACAUGAAAUUCCUCAGGCUGAAGCAUCUAUACAGCCAACUGAAGAACAUGCAAGCACAACUGAUGAAAAUCAGGUUGUUGAUGAUUCUGAGAGCACCAGGGCUGAUGAAGAUAUUCCAGCCGCUGAAGUAAGUGCCAGGGGGACCUCUAGUGUUGUGCCUGAAGAACAAACCAGACCAGAAGCAACUGCUACUGUGCCUGAAGAAACUGUUCAUGCCAGGGCAACUGCAUCAGUUGUGCCUGAAGAAACUACACCAAUUUCCUCUGCUCCUCCUGCACAAACAACAAGUCAUACUCUUCCUUCUCCAUCAGAAGUGAAGAAAACCAAAGCUGCGUAGCGAGCAACUGUGAAGAAAAGGAAAGCAUCUGCUUCCUCAGAGUCUUCAGCUCCGAAGAAAGUGAAGACUUUGACGAGCUCCUAUGCAAAUCCCAUAGAUGUUCCUAUAUCAAGCAUGCCAUCAAAGGAGAUUGUACCCUUUGGUGAGGAAUAUGUGAUUCCAAGAGAAUCUGAUGAAGAAGAUCCUUCUGUUGCUACGUCAGAGCAGAUUGAUGAAGAAAUUGAAGUGGACAAUAUCACUUCAACUCCACUGGUAUCAUCGCCCAUGCCUCAGUUCACAGCUGAAGAGGCAGACGUUGAGGAAAUUGAUGAAGAAGACGAAGACGUGGACAUUGGGUCAACAACGCCAAUUCUGAAUGAUGACUAUUGGGAAAGUCAUCACCCCAAUUCUCCACUGACCACACCACUGCACCAACUUCCUCAGUCCCUAGUCCAAACUGAAGAAAUUCAUACGGUCUUUGAAGAACAUCAAGCUUCUCUUCUCACUAUUCCUGAAGAAGUUCCAGCCACUAGUGCUGAUGUAAAUGUUGCUGAAGAAAUGGAGGUCAAGGCUGCUGAUGACAUUUCCCCUGAAAUUCCUCGGCCUAUGGCUCCAGAGUCUGUGAUUCACGAGGCUGUUAAGACUUCAACUGCUAAUCUUCAGCCCAAGCCACAAAAUCCUCACUCGAAGAAGCAGAAGUUCAAGGCUGAAGACUUAUUCAAUGAGCAUAUUUUCUUCACGGAUUACAAUCCAUAUGACUCUGCAAGACUUAGACGCAAGCGCUUCUGGAUAGUGAGCCAAAUGAAUUUCUAUUCCUCACUGUUGUUUGAUAAAGACAAGAUCUUUGAUCAUGAGCAACUUCCUCAUGUGGAUAUGGAGUCGAUGUCGUGCUUCACCCCCGUCCUUAGUGUUCUUCAUGACGCUGGGCUGCUCAACUUCUGCACCGACAUCUGUGACUGGAAUGAAGAACUCAUGCUUCAGUUCUAUGCCACGUGCACAUCACUGGCAACGUCGAAGAUGUGAAUUCAUGGGUGUUGGACUGGAUGACAGAAAAUACUCACUACAAAGCACAGGCCUCUGAAUUGCUUCAUGCCGUCCCAGUCAGUCCUCCCAUUGAAGGUGCAAGGCUCAUCCAUGCUGAACCUGAACUCUCAGACCAUUUGAUGCAAUUGUUGAUGAAGCCUUUCAAGCCAGGCCAAGCUCCAAGGACCAAAUUCCUCGUUAAGGAAUUGCUUUAUGUGCUAAGGACAGUAUACAGGAUAUUGACCAAAACCCUCAGUCCUAUGAAGGGCCACAACUUCGAUGAAGAAGAGGUUGUUCGCAUCAUGAAGAAUCUGCUUUUCAACGUUAUACAUGGUAUUCCUAUCAACUACCACAAUUUCUUCAUGAGGACUUUGGCUAAUGUAGCUUUGUCACCUUUCGAGUUGAAGCCUUACGCUCCCUGGAUUUUGAUAUUCAUCCGAUCAAGGUCUUCAAUUCAUUAUAAGGCUGACUUUCAAAGUCAUCUCAGCUAUUUGCCCCCAAUUUAAGUCCUCAAACGGACUAUUUCUUCAGCUGAUGAGAAGGGCAAGGCUGCUGUCAUUGAUGAAGGCACACGUCCAUUGGAUGGACAGUUUCACAAAGCUGCAUCUUAUUCCACCAAUGAUGACUCUGCCACACAUGAUUCAGCCGCAAAUGCUUCAAAGCAAUUCCCUCAAGCCACUGCUCCAAGGGUGAUGACUGAUCGUGAGCUUCUCCUCAGUCUUCAUCAGAAGGUCGAUCGCAACCACAAGUGGGUCAAGCGUCAGUUUGGUUCAAUUCUUUAGAAUAUGACUAUCACGCAAAACACUUUGAAGAAGAACCAUUACUACUUGCAUGAAGUUUUUGAUCGCACAUGGUUGUAUUGUCUCACCUCUAUGGGGAUGAAGAUCUCAAGCGGAUGGGCUUCAAGCAAGACUUUGACUGGUCUCAGCCACCUUCGAAGAAAUUCAAGAAGGUCAAAGUUCCUCACUUGGUGGCCAGCUCAUAUUCUUCAUCGCGUGAGACUGAUGAACAUGAAGAUUUGGACGACACUGUGGCAGGCCCUACUCCAACGGACGACCCCAACAACGCUGGCACUCCUCCAUCGACAUCUUGAUGAUAUUCUUCAGGGGCGUUAGUCCUCAUUUUUCGUCCCUUUUGGUCAUUCGAUGACAAAGGGGGACAAAUUUGAGUUAGUCUUCAAGCGGGUCUAUAUAUAUGGGCGUUUUUUUGCUAAGUUACAACUCUCGUUCUUCUGAAGUAUUUGUUGGAUUGAGUUGUAAAUUUAAGUCCUAUGGUGGUCUGAUACUUUUUCUCUAUUUUUCUGCAUGCUAUUUCCUCAAGUAUGUUAAUGCACGCAUGCAGAAUUACCUCAGUCACCAUAUUUCAUCAUGCAUUUUAAAUUCUUCAUAUCAUAUGUUAAAUGCGUGUAUCAAUUACAAGAUAUAGGGGGAGAUCAUUCUACUCUAUAAUGUGCAUUGCUAUUCAAAGCAAAUUCCUCAAAUAUGCACAUCUUCAGGGGGGAGUUCUUCUAUAUCUUACAAUCAAAUUCCUCAAUAUCAGUAUUUACACUUCUUAUGUUUCUCCCCGUUGAAAACUUAACCUAUGUUGUCAUCAAUCACCAAAGAGGGGGAGAUUGUAAGUGCAUCUAGUGUCGCUUAGUGAUUUUGGUGUAUUGAAGACUUAUAGGUUAAGGGACUAAUGAUUUUGUGAGUGUACACAGGUCUAUAAGUCUAUGAGGAGUUUGAUAUUUACAGAGAAAGUCGACCCCUAAAAAUGAAUGUCUUCAACUGAAGACUUUGGCUUUCUGAAGACUUUUAAAGUGAAGAAAAUGGUGUGACCGUAAAGACUUAAUAUUCAUGCGAGGAAUAUGAAGCGUGAAGGCUUUUGUUUUCAUAGUUUCAUUUUCUCUUUCUUGAGUCAUAGGAAACAUCGUACUAUUAGAGGGGGUCGAGGUAAAACUAAGGAAAAGUUUCCAAGUGAUGCUCAUCUCAAAAUCCUACACCUACCCAAUCCUUUCGAGUGAAGCCAUUGGAAAUCUCAUACAGUUCAGUCAAUUCCUUCAGUGAUAGAGACGAAGAUCUUCUAGUCUCUGAGGAAUUUGUUAUGACUGAGGAGUUAGGAAUUCGCCAGUGCGGAUUGCCUACAAGUGACGAAUAUGAUAGCCCUAAGGAAUUUGAUACUCAAAUAUCCGACCGUUGUUGUGCUACGCGCCAGCUAUCCCAAAAUAUCUACCCACCUAAUGGUCAUAUCAUUGAAGGGCAUUUAUGUCUUAUCAUGUCGGGCUACUCCCUAGGCUAUAAAUAGCCGCCCCCUACAACCACUAGCUGGUUGGCUGCUCCAAGAGAAACUGACACUUGUCAUUGAGAGCAUCCCAUCCUCCGAGGACUUUGAGUGAAAAUCAUCAAGUGAGGAAACCCCAAACCCAAACACCUACAAACCCAAAGUGAUUGAGCAUCACUGAAGAGAUUGUCCCUGUGUGGAACCGACGCUUGUUACCUUUGAGGACUGUGUAUCCUCCAGACGGUUAGGAGUCAUGGUCUAGAGCAUCCAAGAGGAAAUUGUGGAUCACCGAGUGACCAAGUCUGUGAAGGUUUGGAAGUCACCUGAAGACUUACCACGAGUGAUUGGGCGAGGUAUGUGUGACCUUAGCUCAAGGAGAAUACGGUGAGGACUAUGUGUCCGGGACUGGGUGUCCUCAGGUUUAAAUACCUAACCGCUCCAACCAGACAUAUGACUAUCACAGUAGUUGGAACUGGUCUACCAAAUCACUGUCUUCACCGAGCUACUGGUUCUAUUUCCUCAACCCUUCCAUUUCCUCAUUCAUAUACUAUUGUACUUGAUUGUUACUAUUUUAAGACUUUGACUGAAGACUUUCUCAAUUUCCUCAGUUCUAAUUCUUCAGUCAGUUUGUCUUCAGCAUGCUUAUCUUGUGUUUACGCUACUUGUACUAUGUGCUUGUUUUUAUUUCAUCAUGAUGACUGUGCUACUGCUCUGUUAUGCUUGCAUCUGAGUACUUAUUCCGCUGCUAGUUGUUCGUGACUUAGGAAUUUCCUCACAUUGAAAUUCCUCAGUGACAAAUUUGUAAAAAUCGCCUAUUCACCCCCCUCUAGUCGAUAUAACGCACUUUUAGUAGUGAAUCGUGUUUUUGAUAAAAAAGUAUUAACAUCUACACUACCAACUCAGUGUCAUUGAUCUAUCAUAACAUAUGUUUUCAUAUUGUACUUAUUUUAGUAUCGCAGAUGUUUGAUUUUUUUUGUAAUUUGAUUAACACUAAAACUAUUGUGCUCAAGAUAAAGACUAAGUGGCGUGUUCUGAUGUCCUCCAUCUACUCUAAAACUUCCCAGAUUCAGCUUCUUGCAUGGCUUCUCGCUUCACCUGGCGGUUGGAAAUCGUUUGGCAGCCUCGUAGCUUCUCCCAGUGCCACAUUGAGCUCGAAGCCCAACUGGGAGGCUACAUGCCUAUUUGUUGCCACCUGUGCCGGCUAAAAGUGGUCCAUUAGAAGCGAGGGAGAGGGGAGAUAACGAGUGAGGCCUUCGUGCAUGUACAUCUGUACGAGCGAGGAGGAGCUUAGACCAACACGUUUUCUUGGGCGCUGGCAAUCUGGGUGUAAAUAACUGGAACUCCAGAUUCCUCUAAACAUGGAGCUCGGUUUGCCUCGCUUCCAAAAAUUGCACUAGGUCCCAAGUUAGCUUCGUGAAGUUUAGCUUGUUGGAGCUUAUGUGUUCGGGUUGGUUUCUCGCUGAGAGUUUGUGAAGUUGGGAGUUGGUGGACAUCAGAACAUGUCCUAAGUGGCUUCAUAUAAAUGGUUGGAGGGAGAAGUAUUUUAGAACCUUCAACCUCAUCUACAUUCAUAAAAUCACACUUGACAUUUCCCACCACACCAAAAAGGAUGUUGAAAAAAUUGUUUCAGAAAAUUCCACCACUCAAACACACUUCCUAAAAUAUGGAACUUCCUCUACAUCAGAACAAAUUUUUAAAAAGAUCUAUUCACAUGAUUUUUUUAAUCAAAGGGGCUUCCCCUGUCCCAACUUUUAUUAAAGCCAAGGCAACUUACUAAGGUGUCUAGCUUAGACCAACCUGUUGCUUGCAGGAUAUAGUGUGAUCCUUCAUAGGAAGCCACCUCCCGCUUGAAAAAAGUGAGAAAGUUGAGAGAAGGGGGAGAAAAGGUAAAGCUGAAUAUGUCUUAGGUGGGCCAAAUGAAGCAACUAGUUUGGGUGGUUUGAGGGCAUGUAUUAUGUGAUUGUCUGUAUCUGCGUUGGUAUUUCCCCGAAGAGGAGAGGAUGAUGCAACACAGCAACGGUAAGUAUUUCCCUCAGUUAUGAAACCAAGGAUAUCAAUCCACUAGGAGAACAAAGCAACACUAUGUACACGGUACAUGUACACAAAUAACAAAUACUUGUAACCCAACGCAUAAGAGGGGAUGUCAAUCCCUCCUCGGUAUUGAGAUAGAUUAAAUUCUAUGAGAUUAGAUAAAUAGAUCUAGCGAAAACACAAAAUAAAAAAUAAAGAAAAAGUGCAGCAAGGUAUUUUUGGGUUUUUGGAAUAAUAGAUCUAAAAACAAUAUGAUAGAAAAUAGACUCGGAGGCCAUAGAUUUCACUAGUGGCUUCUCUCAAGAAAAUAGCAUACGGUGGGUAAACAAAUUACUAUUGGGCAACUGAUAGAAGAGCAAAUAAUUAUGACAAUAUCCAGGGCAAUGAUCAUGUAUAUAGGCAUCACAUCCAAGAUUAGUAGACCGAAACAAUUCUGCAUCUACUACUAUUACUCUACAUAUCGACCGCUAUCCAGCAUGCAUCUAGUGUAUUAAGUUCAAGGAGAAACGGAGUAAUGCAAUAAGAACGAUGACAUGAUGUUGACAAGAUCUAUUCAUGUAGGAAUUAGACCCCCAUCUUUUGUUCCUUAAUAGCAACGAUACAUGUGCGUCAUAUCUCCUUCUGUCACUGAGAUUGAGCACCGCAAGAUCGAACCCAUCACAAAGCACCUCUUCCCAUUGCAAGAAAAAUCAAACUAGUUGGCCAAACCAAACAAAAGUUUUGGAGAACAAAUAUGAGGCUAUAAAUCAUGCAUAUAAGAGAUCAAACAAGACUCAAAUAAUAUUCAUAGAUAGAACUGAUCAUAAAUAUGCAAUUCAUCGGAUCCCAACAAACACACCGCAAAAAGUCAUUACAUCAAAUAGAUCUCCAAGAACAUCGAGGAGAACAUUCUAUUGAGAAUCAAAAAGAGAGAAGAAGCCAUCUAGCUACUGCCUACGGACCCGUAGGUCUGUGGUAAACUACUCACGCAUCAUCGGAGGAGCACCAAUGAGGAUGAUGAACCCCUCCGUGAUCGUGUUCCCCUCCAGCAAGGUGCUGGAAAAGGGCUCUAGAUUGGAUCUCGUGGUUCUGGAACUUGCGGCGGCUGGAAUUGUGUUUCAUCGACUCCCCUAUGGUUUCUGGAAUAUUUGGGUAUUUAUAGAGUUGAGAGGCGGUGGAAAGGACUCCCGUGGGCCCCACCACCAACAUGGGUGCCCUGGUGGGUUGUGGGCCCACGGGCCUCCCCUCUGGCACUUCCUUGGCUCCCAAGUUGUCUUCUGGGCAGAAAAAAAUCUCUAAAAAGUUUCAUGGCAUUUGGACUUCGUUUGGUAUUGAUAUUAUGUGAAGUAAAAAAACAAGAAAAAAACAACAACUGGCACUAGGCACUAUGUCAAUAGGUUAGUCCAAAAAUGAUAUAAAGUUUCUAUAAAAUAAAUAUAAAACAUCCAAGAAUGAUAAUAUAACAGCAUACUAGUGCAGAGACGUGAUAUACAAACGGUUUUUACCCCCUUUCCAUGACGGAGUUUUAAACCGUCGCCUAGUGAGUAUGUGCGAUAGGGGGGUCCUUCCCACACGACCCAGAAACCGUCGGAGAUAGGCCCUUCGGCCACAUAGGCGGGGGCGAAAUGAGCUCGUGUGCGAUCGGGCAAGGCAUCGAAACCCAAUCAUUUCCGUUCGUAUGUACAUCCCACAUGGUGAAUCCCAGAAAAACAUUUAUGUUCGUAUGUAUAUCACACACAAUUUUUUUGUGUGGAAACGUUUGUGCAAGGUGGCCUAAUGCAAACAGUUCUCUACCGGAAGCCGUGUGUGAUUGUUAGUUGAUCCAACACGCCUACUUUCUAGAUAACGUGUUGGUUGUUUGAGCUCAUCGCCCAUGGUGUUCUCUGAGUAGCCGUCUGUAAUAGAAAACCCCAAUUGGCAGGGUAAUUAGCCUAUUAUUGAUAAUCCAUGUAGUAAUCAAAUUGACAUUUCUUAUAAAAUACACCAGAUAUUUCAUAUUCGUAUAAUAGCAACCAAGAUUUCAUAAUUGAAUUACAUCAGAUAGCUUCAGCACUCAGUUACGCCAUUACACGACAGCACCAAGUUUCACAUGCAACAUCGAAAACCUUUGGAAAGUAGCAUCAUACACGGUAAAUAGAAAGAUGAAUCUCAUCUAGGAAACUGCAGAAGCGGAAGGCAAAUAUUGAGCCUUCAGUGAUGUUGAAUGUCCUUGUAACUUUAGGCCACUGGCUAUGGAAAAUUGCCCGCACAAACUUCGUCCUCUUCGGGAAGACUUCAAUAUUGUACCGUGGGUGUUGAAUGAAUACCUUCCUCGCCUCUUGACCAUGCAGGUGAUUUGAGAGGUAAUAAUCAGUGAACUGCUUUGAAAAGUACUGAAAACAAAGAUAUGCAUAAAUCAUCGUUAUAAAUUUUGAAAUGACGCAAGGGGUAAAAACAAGGUAAUAGAGUUAGUACCAUCCUAUAGUUGACUGAUGUCUUCUUCAUUGUGCCAACAAAGAUAUUGCUGUUAUUUGUCGCAAGUUCCUUCAUCCAAACAAUCUUUCUGAGUUUCUUGACUUGACUGAUAUUCAUGGACAUCUCAUUUCCCAUAUGCAAAAUGGGUCGAAUAGUGGGUCUAAGCCUCUGACAGGAGGACCUACAUGUGCAAGAGCAAAUUGUAAGAAACCUAAAUAUCACAAUGAUUCCUUGUCGGGGGUUUGGUGCGACAUAUGCCAAUGGAUGGCUUAUCAUGGUGGGGGCGAGUAGAACGUCGUCGAUGCCUAGAAACGGGAUGAGGCGAAGACAUGCACGCCAGCGAAUCUUACCAGCUUCGGGGCUCUCCAGGGAGAUAAUACCCCUACUGCUGCUCUGCGGGGUCUCCGCAUGAUCACUAUGGCCAAGUGUUUACAUGGUGGCUCCUUGAGCUGUUUCUGGUGGUAGAAGAGGGCAAGGCUAGCUCUCUCCUUCUAUCUGGUAUGGUCUAGAACUACUGGGAUCCAACCCCUUGCAUGGGUGCCCUGGGGGGUUUAUAUAGGCCUACCCCCCAGGGGUACAAUGGUAAUUCGACUGGGCGCGGGCCCAUUCGUUAGUGCCUCCGACCUCCGACUUCUCCGCCGACUGCUGGGGCCCGCCGACUGUUGGGGCCCGCCGACUGCUGGGGCCCGCCGAUUGGUGGGCCCCGCCAACUGGUCUGGUACGGAGCCGACAGGCUGCGUCCGCCGCGGGCGGGUCUUGUCGGCUGCUGAUUACUGUAGCCGUGCUUCUGAUGACGCAGGCUUGGUCAUGGGGUCGUGGCAACAGCCCCGCCGCCUGGCGGGCGAUCACUGUGGCCACUCCCCAUCUCAUCUUGAUUAAUGGCGCGUGGGCCCCGGGGGAGGGCUCGGCCGACUCCCCCGGGCCGACUCUCGACGGGUCCGACUGGCGAUCCUCCCGCCGUCUCCCGAGGUCUUGCUGACUGGUGGGCCCCGCUGCCUCCAGGCCGAAUAGACAAGCCGUUGUGGGCGCAUGACUUGGUAUUGUGGUGCUGAUGUCAGGGCCGGCCGGGCAACAGUGCCAUGCCGCACGGAGAUCUUCCCGGGUACAGCGUGCUGUGGCCAUGCCUGCCCUUGGUAAGGGGUGGGGAGUGGACUUCACUGUAGCCACGCCCCUGCCCCGUCCCCUCUGAUGAGGUCAUGGUUUGUUGGAGUCGCCGGCCGACUCCCCAAAGCGGGCUUCUCUAGAAGUCGUCCCUGGAACUCGGCCGUGAGCGGGCAGUCGGCCGCCCUGCCGUCGACUCCUCAGGAGAUGGCUCUUCGUCCUGGGGUCUUGAGGGGCGCAGCCUACCCCGGUGUCUUGAAAGGUCAUGGGACCCGGGUUGGCCUACCCGUGGCCCAUUACUCCAACAGUAGUCCCCGAAGCUGGUGAGGCGCCACGGACGAUCGGCCGAGAAGCCUCAGCAGUUUCUCUUUCCGGGCGCUCAACGCAUGGUCUUGAUUGACUUCUGCCGGGCCGACUAGAAGGAGUCGGACUUGCUCAACUCGGACUUCACUCAAUUUCUACUUGCUCGGUAUUUCGAACGUCGUGGCGGGAUUAUAAGUGGCGUGCUAGCUAAGCCUCCAGGCCGCCGCCCGUUCUUGGCCUGUCACGCGAGGGCACGUGGCUAGGCCGUCCUGCCAGCCCACGCGUGCAAUGGGACAGGCCCACAGGCGGGGCCCGCCACUACCGCGCCUCGGCGCCCGAGCGGAUCCGCUGCGGCCCCGGUGGACGGUUGGGAUUCCCAUGGAGUUACUACGUGCAGUAACUUUACGUGGAUCGUGGGGGUCGCGGGGUUGUGGGCGCAGUAAAUCCCCAUGUCCGCCCCUCGGCUUUGCAGCCCACAGGGCUAUAAGUAGGGGGGAGAGGGGGGCACGCGCGCCCCUCCUUCCCACUACUCCUCGCUCUCUUCCUCCUUGCCGCUCCUCGCACUCCUCCUUCCUCUUUUCUUCUUUGCUCCGCCGCACGCCCAAGCUCCGGCGAACGCCGCGGUGACAGCUCGCGAUGAGUUCUUCCUCCGCUGUCGCGCCUCCCCCAGUGCGUUCCGGCACCUGGGACGGCUCCGAGGUUCAUGAAGACCACAUCGAGUUCCUCCGCCGGACCCGUCGGCUUCCCAGCGAGGAUCACGUGCAGGUGCGUCUUGCGCCGGAGGGGGAGAUUUCCCCCACCCCGCAGGAGGGCGAGCAGGUCAUCUUCUGCUCGCACUGCUUGCGCGGGCUGGGGCUGCCGGCGAGCAGCUUCUUCCGGUCUUUCUUGGAGUUCUACGGCCUCCAGCCGCACCACCUCACCCCCAACACAGUGGUGCUGCUGUCCGCCUUCGUGGCCUUGUGCGAAGGCUUCCUCGGAGUCCUCCCCACCCUCGAGCUCUGGGGGGAGUUCUUCUUCUCCAAGAUCGGUACCCUGGCCGCGGGCGUGCCGGCUCAAUGCGGCGCCUUCAUCACCGUGCGAAGGUCAGGAGUCGACAACCCCUUCCCCUCCAUCUCGCUGAUAAAGUCGGUGAAGAUGUGGUAGAGAUCCUACUUCUACGUUAGGAAUGUCGCCACGAGGGGCGACUGGGUCAAUCUACCGGCUUUCGAAGCCGGCCCGCCGGCUGGAAGACUGCCCAACUGGUCGUACCGGGCCAAGUCGUUGACGCCUGCGGGAGCGGCGCCAUCACGCGACUCCGAGUGCUGACGCAGUCGGAGGGUCUGACUGGUCCGGACCUGCUGGCCGCCUUCGUCUCGCGCCGAGUUCUCCCACUCCAAGGCCGACCUCGCAUGAUAUGCCAGAUGAGCGGGCACCGCGACCCGAGUUGGAUGUGCACCAAGGACAUGCCUCACGAAGAGGUGGCCUUCAUGGUGAACUACCUCUCGGACAGCAGGCUCCUGGAGGACUGGCGAUUCGGCAAGGAGCCGUACUCCCGCGCCAACCCCCCGCCCGUGGUGAGCGCCUUUCUUUUCUUUCUUUAGAUUGUCUUCUUCUUGCCGAGUUUUGUUUUGACCAGUCGGCUUUGGUUAGAAUCCGCUUCUUCACCCACCAGCCGUCACCUUGGGGCCUGCCCGUGAGUUCGUCGCCGACCGGGCGGAGAGCGACGUCGAUGACCCCAAUCUGGGGGCGGCGGCUCUGGAAGACGACGCCGAGGGAGGAGGGACAGCAGGCGACUUCAGGCCUUCGGCUACCUUCGCCGACUGGCCUGAAGACAGCACCGAGGGAGAAGUCGCCGCUCGCCAUCGGCCAGGAGCCAGCCAGCCUGGCGCGGCUCUUCUGCCGCGCCGGGCGCUCCAGGCGGCGGGAAGAAGCGCAGGGUCGUGCUGACCUUGUUCGGCAGUCGACCGAAGAAGCCCAAGGGCUCGGCUGCGGCGACCCGGCGGGACGAGGCAGCCACGAAGGCCAUCCGCUUCCGUAAGGAAGUGAAGAAGCCGCCGUUGGUCUCCGCGUAAGUAUUAUGUCUUCAAAGUUUUAUUCUUUCUUCAUGAUUUGUCUAAGUCUCUGCUUGCCCUUCUUUCUUCAGGGCUCCCCUCUCUCUUGAGCGGGUCGCCGCCGACUCCGUCAUGGGGUCAGCGGAGACGUCCGCCACCACUCGGCGGAUUGACCCCGCUGCUGACCUCCGGGAGGCGACGGAGCGGAAUGCGCAAGAGAGGCGCAACGAAGAAGAGGCCCUCCGCCUGGAGAAGGCGGAAGCCGACAGGGCGGAGGCCUCCGCUAAGAAAAAACUGGCGGAGGCCGAAACCGCCGCCGCGGCGAAGCAGCAGGCCGAGGAAGCCGCACGCCGCCAGUCGGCCUUGCUCGUCACCCCGCUGAACUCUGCGCCGCCGCCUCCGGAGUUCAUGGGGCCAACUGGAGAUGCCGGCGGGGAGAACCUAGUCGAGGAGAGGGAAGGCGGCGACCCCUCUACUCCCGACGCGAAUGUUCCGCCGCCGCCUCCGCCGCUGUCUGAAGGCGCCCAAGGUGAGCAGCCAGCGGACCCUCCAGUGCCGCCGACCGAAGACGAGGCCGUGGCGAGGCUACUCCUCCAAGUCGGCUCGCCAACGCGCCAUUGUUUGGAGAAGGCGACUUCGGCACCUCACCCCCUGGAAGCCGGCACCGCCAGCUUGGCGGCCCCAGAUGCCGAGGGGACGAGCGCCGCACCUGUUGGGUGGGUGCGAGGAGGCGGCACAGGGCCGCUGAACUGGGUGCUCCUGGACGUCCAGGCGAAGCUCCGUGCUGAGGGCGACGCUCUCCAGAGUUGCACCAAGGCGUUCCUAGCGUCGCGGGCAGCCGUCCGGGUAUGUUUUUUUCCUUUGGUCUUUGUUUUCUUGCUCCUCUCUGUGGGGGCGCGCCAACGCACCCACUGGGUGUAGUCCCCGAGUUUCGGGCCGGCUACUGAGAAGGUGGCCCGGAACUCCAAUUGAUGAACUUCUGGGUACUAACUUGUCUGAAAUGCUUGUCGCAGGAUUACCACAACCUCCGUGUCACUGCCUUCAACCGUAACGUUGAAGAGCUGGGCAAGCGGACCGCCGACUUGGCAGAGAGCCGGAGUAAGUCCCCCCUUUUUUUCUCUGCGGGGGCGCGCUAGCGCACCCACGGGCUGUAGUCCCCGAGAUUCGGGCCGGCUGCUGAGCAGCCGGGCCGGAUCUCCUUGGCGACCUACUUUAUUGACGAUUGUUGUCUUUCUUCCUUUCCUUCAGGAGCCAAUGCUGCUCUUCAAAAGCAGCUGAGCGAAGCCAACUCCGCCCUGCGCGCCAAAGGGGGGGAGUGCAGCAAGCUCGCCACAGAGCGUGAUCUGCUGGCCACUCAGUUGGCAGAGCAGAAGGAGCUGCUUGUGAAGUCGCAGAAGGAGGCGGAGGAGACGGAAACCGCCCUCUUGGCCGAGUUCGCGAGCGAGCGCUCCUCCUGGUCUGACAAGGAGGCGCUGUUGUCCUCUGGCUUCCACGAGAUUGAAGACAUCGUUGAUGGUGAGCCUCUUUAUUUUCUUUCUUCGAGCUGCCGACUUAGAUCGUGCCGACUCCUAGUUUUUGACUUGCUUCUUCGUUUCUUCGUGUCUGUGCAGACUUCUUCCCUGGGCAGUCGCAGGCCGCCAUCCAAGCCAUCGAGGCUGACCGUGAAGGUCGAAGGGUGGAGGGCGCAGAGAUCGCCGCCGAUGCCCCCCGAACUCUUGACGAGCACAUCCUGAGCAUCAAGGCUCACCUCCGGCCGGCUCACCAAAUGUUACGCUGGCUCCAGCGCGUCGGUGCCCAAGUGAUUGCUGCCCUUUGGCCGGAUGUGCAGGCUCCGCGCACCCCCAGCCUGACGGCCAACUGGCUGGAGGUCGCGGCUGGUCGUCUUGAGGCCUGGAAGGGCUCUUCGGCCUGGGCUGGAGUGUGCCGGGCCUUGGAGUUCGUCAAGGCGUGGUACCCGGGGCUGGAUCUAGACCGGUUGGCCAUGCUUUGGUCGGAGGCCCACCCGGAGCUGGCGGCUGCGGAAGACGCCCUCGUCAAGCGUCCUGCGGCGAUCGCCGAGUACACCGACACCAGCAUCUUCGUCCCCGAGCGGUCUGAGGACGGCGAGGAGGCACCGCCGGAGUGGUUUGGGAUGAACCCAGACUAUGGCGAAGACUCGGCGGAGGUGAUUGGCUCCAGCGUUGAGGAGGAGGACGAAGCGGAGGAUGGAGGCGAGGCGGAGGCACCAGAAGACGGAGCAGACGGCCAGCCUCAGCCCGACCGCGCCUCCAGCAACGAGCCGCGUGCGACCGAGUCAACUGCCGCCGGAGGUGAUCGAGCCGAGACUAGCCCGCCGGCUGCCCCGACGCCUGACGCUGGCGCCUCCUCCAACCCUCCGAAUCCGUCUGCUGCCUCCUAAGCUGCCGAUGUAUCUUUCAUUUUAUCUGCUUCAGUAGUCUUUGAAGAACUUGUUAAUUCGCACAAUUCCACCCACGGGGUGUAUUUUGAACCUCUACUCGACAAUUCGGCCAAAGGCCUAUGUUAUGUAAAUAUAUAUAUCUAUCUUUUCUUGCUCAUUGUUCUUUUGGAUUUUUUCCUUUGCCGCUUUCUCUUAGUUGCCUGCCUUGCCAAUCGGACAGCCGCUCUGCGGACUGUUGCUGGAUCAAGUGCUAGGCUACUUUGGGGAAGCAAGUACUUAGCCGAUUUCAAGAUUGUUUGAGCAAGUUGGAUAGAAGACGACAAUCCGACUAUCCGACAGUCGGUUUGCGAGAAAGGCUGGAAGCCGUCUUGAGCUAUGUUUUAUGCUUUGAGUCCUUAGCCAUUUUUCAUGCGAACACCCAUUCUACCUUACCUCUACCCACUGUACAAUCGCUCUACGAGCUGCGGCUUCUCACAGAAGACGGUUUGGGUGUUACACACUACUUGUCCGGUUGCAGGAAGCAUUUCAUAGUGCAAGGCGGAAAGUCCCCGGGCCGACUUGUCGAACCCGGUGCCAAGCGGCAUGACAAAGAGUAACAUGCUUGUAGGCAUAAUUUUUAUCAUACAGACAAAAGAGGGCAGUCCCCGAGCUCGUCUCGAGGGGCCCGAAGUCUUGGUACUUUAAUACAAAAGGUAGCGUGGUACAUACUGCAUCAACUGUAAAAUCUUCGGAGGAGAUUUGCAUUCCAUGGCCGCUCUGUCUCCUUGCCGGAGUCGUCCCUCUUGCAUGCUCGGGGCUUCUGAGCGUCGAUCGGGUAGUAGGAAUCGUUGCCCAGUACUUUGCUUAUGAUGAAAGGGCCUUCCCAAGGCGCCGACAGCUUGUGUUGGCCGGCUGUUCGCUGGAUCAGCUGGAGCACAAGGUCGCCUUCUUGGAAAGAUCUUGGCCUGACCUUCCUGUUGUGGUAUCGAUGCAGGCUCUGCUGGUAGAUGCUGGACCGGCUGAGUGCCAAUAGCCGGCCCUCUUCCAGCAGAUCGACGCCGUCUUGUCGUGCUUCUUCUGCUUCCUCCUUGGUGUACAUGGUGACUCAUGGGGAGUCAAACUCUAUGUCCUUUGGGAUGACGGCUUCGGCACCGUAGACGAGGAAGAAGGGCGUGAAGCCGGUUGACUUGUUUGGAGUUGUGCGCAGACUCCAGAGGACGGCUGGUAGCUCGUCGAGCCAGCAGCCAGCCAAGCGCUCCAGAGGCUCGAUCAACCGAGGCUUGAUGCCGGACAUGAUGAGGCCGUUUGCUCACUCCACUUGGCCGUUUGACUGCGGAUGGGCGAUGGACGCUAGGUCUAGUCGGAUGCCCUGUGUUGCGCAGAAACGAGCCAAGGUGCCUUUGGCAAAAUUUGUGUCGUUGUCGGUGAUGAUGCUGUGUGGUAUGCCGUACCGAAUUGUGAUAUCGGUGAUGAAAGUCACGGCAGUCGGGCCGUUUAGUUUCUUAAUUGGCUUCGCUUCCACCCACUUGGUGAACUUGUCCACUGCAACAAGUAGGUGAGUUAAACCACCUCGUGCUGUCUUGAAUGGUCCCACCAUGUCUAGACCCCAAACUGCGAAAGGCCAGGCAAUGGGGAUGGUCUUGAGCGCAGAAGCCGGCUGGUGCGGCUUGGAGCUGAACUUUUGGCACCCUUUGCAUUUUUGGACCCACUCCUUGGCCUCUUCCAAGGCAGUCGGCCAGAAGAAACCGUGCCGAAAGGCUUUGGCGACGAGUGCUCUUGAAGCCGCAUGGUGGCCGCAUUCGCCUUGAUAGAUGUCUUUGAGAAUCGCCUGGCCUUGCUCUGGCUCUACACAGCGCUAGUAGACACCAGUGACGUUGCGCCUGACCAGCUCUCUGUUGACUAUGGUAUAGGCUGCCGCCCGGCGUUGUACUUGCCGAGCUGAGGUCUCAUCAGUUGGUAGCUCUUUGUUCACCAGGAAUUUGAGGAUGGGCUGAGCCCAUGAGGGUGCUGCUAUUUCUUCGACUAUCAGAACUGCGACUUGGACGAGGGCGGCCGGGCUGGGAGGCGGCGGGUUGGAGUCAACAGCCGCUUGCUGGGUUGAUGAAGUCCCCAGGCCGACUGGCGCGGUCCUUGGGCUGAGUUCUGGAAUCUUCGAGUCCGCCACCCCAGUCACCGGGCCGGGCUCGACUGUGGCGGCUUUGGAGUCAUCCGCCAAAGUCCCCGUUCCGUCUGCCGGAGCUCUGGAGUCGGAUCCGCCGUCUUUGGGAGGAGUCGGCACAAAAAAAUGGAGUCUGAUUCUGGUGAAGGCUUGACAGACGGCUUGAGGAGGCAUUGAAGGGCGACGCCAGAUGGUAUUGCUUGGCGGGUAGAGCCGAUUCGUGCCAAGGCGUCUGCUUGGUCGUUGUCGUUUCUUGGCACAUGGAGGAACUCGCACCCUUUGAAAUACCCGCUGAGUUGCUGCACGAGGAAACGGUAGCUCGCCAUGUUUGCGUCUUUCGUGUCCCAGUCGCCAGAUGACUGCUGGACCACUAAGUCCAAGUCGCCAUAACACAAGAUCCGGCGGAUGCCAAGUUCUUUGGCAAGCCGGAGCCCGUGAAUGAGCGCCUUGUACUCGGCAACGUUGUUGGAGGCGGCAAAAUGGAUUUGCAGUGCAUAUUUGAGCUUGUCUCCUUUUGGAGAGGUGAGGAUGAUGCCGGCUCCCAAGCCGAUGCGCAUCUUGGAGCCGUCGAAGUGCAUCCGCCAAUGGGUGGAGUCAGGCGCUGGAGGCAGGUACUGGGUCUCGGCCCAGUCGACGAGAAAGUCGGCCUGCGCUUGUGAUUUGAUAGCGGUGCGGGGCUGGUAGUAGAUGGUGUAAGGAGCCAGCUCUAUGGCCCACUUGGCCACUCGACCAGAGGCAUCUCGGCUACCGAUGAUCUCGGCAAGUGGGGCCGUGCAGACCACUAUGAUUGGAUGCUCUUGAAAGUAAGGCUUCAAUUUCUUGGCAGCAAAGUGUACGCCAUAGCACAUCUUCUGGUAGUGGGGGUAGUUCUGCUUGGAGGUCGACAGUACCUUGCUCAGGUAAUAUACUGGUCUCUGGACAGGCAGCGCCUUGCCUUCCUCCUUGCGCUCCACUACCAUGACUGUGCUGACUACUCGGCUGGUGGCGGCGAUGUACAGGAGCAUAGGUUCCUUGGGAGUCGGAACCGCCAGGACGGGUGGAGUAGUCAGCAUCUUCUUCAACUGGUGAAAAGCUUCGUCCGCCUUAUGGUUCCACUCGAAAAAAGUGGUCUUCUUCAUGAGUUGGUAUAAGGGGAGGGCUUUCUCGCCCAGCCGACUGAUGAAUCGGCUGAUGGAUGCUAAGCAGCCGGUGAACUUCUGCACAUCCAGCAGUCGGCUGGGUACCUCCAUUCUCUCGAUGGCCUUGAUUUUUACUGGGUUGCAUUCUAUGCCGCGUUCAGAGACAAGGAAACCUAGCAGCUGGCCGGCUGGUACUCCGAAGACACACUUCUCGGGGUUGAGCUUGAUCUGGAAUCGGCGCAGGUUCUCAAAGGUCUCUUUGAGGUCUUCCAGCAGUGUUCCAUGCUUUUCCGUCUUCACCACCACGUCGUCCAUGUAAACAUGGGCGUUCCGGCCGAGCUGCUUGAGGAGACACUUCUGCAUGCAACGCUGAAAGGUGGCGCCGGCAUUCCUCAAGCCGAACGUCAUGGUGAGGUAGCAGAAUGCUCCAAACGGCGUGAUGAAGGCGGUCAUCAAUCUGUCAGCCGGGUUCAGCUUGAUCUGGUGAUAUCCUGAGUAUGCAUCCAAGAAACUCAACAACUUGCAUCCGGCUGUGGAGUCUAUCACCUGGUCAAUUCUUGGUAGAGCAAAUGGGUCCUUGGGGCAGGCCUUGUUGAGGCUCGUGUAGUCGAUACACAUUUGCCACUGCUUGUUCUUCUUUAGCACCAGGACCGGAUUUGUCAGCCACUCCGGGAAGAAAACUUCCAUAAUGAAGCCGGCUGCUAGGAGUCGGGCUAUCUCUUCUCCGACAACUCUUCUCUUUUCUUCUGAUAAGCAGCGCAGGGGCUGCCUGACCGGCUUUGCAUCAGAUCGGACAUGUAACUUGUGCUCGGCGAAAUCCGUCGGUACACCUGGCAUGUCUUUGGGAGACCAUGCGAAGAUGUCCCGAUUCUCACGGAGGAAAUCGACGAGCUCGCCUUCCUAUUUGCUGUCGAGGUUUGCACCUACGACGGCGUACCUCUCUGGGUGCUCCAGAUCCAAGGGUAUCUUCUUUGUAUCUUUGGCCGGCUUGAACGAACCUUCGGCUUCCGACUCCUUCGGGUCGGGCGAUAUCUCCGGCUGCUUGUCGGCCAUCACCACAACUCGUUCAAGGAGUCGCUUCUCGGCUGCGAUCACCAGGGACUCGGCCAGGCAACUGCUCUCAGCCAUGCAAGCGGACGACUUCCGCUAGUCGCCGGCCACAGUCGGAAUUCUCCUGGAACUGGGUAUCUUCAUCUUGAGGUAGGCGUAGUGGGGGACCGCCAUGAACUUGGCCAAGGCGGGCCGGCCAAGUAGCGCAUGGUAUGGGCUCUCAAGGUCCACCACCUCAAACCAAACAGACUCUCUUCGGAAGUGAUCUUUGUUCCCAAAGAGGACGUCAAUCAGGAUCUUGCCGAUUGGUGAGCAGGAAAGCCCGGGAACAAUGCUGUGGAACACAGUCCGGCUGUUCUGAAGCUGUCUUUGCUUGAUUCCUAACUUCUCCAUGGUGUCCUUGUACAGGAUAUUGAUGUUGCUGCCCCCGUCUAUCAGAACUCGCGAGAAAUGCGCGGCCCGUUUGUCCGUGGCAAAGGUGGCGUCCAGGACCAAGGCGUAGGAGCCCGGACUCGGCAUCACUUCUGGGUGGUCAGCCCUGCUCCAGCUGAUGGGCCUCUCAGACCGGUGCAUGAACUCUGGCGUCUCUAAGGCUACUGCGUUCACCUCUUGUCGCUGCAGCCGCCUGCUGCGUCGAUCAUCAGCCACACUAGUGAACACCAUAUAGGCUCCAUGCUCUUCAGGAUAUUCGUCUUGUACUGCGCCGACUGGCCUGACUGCCGGCUGCUGGGGCGGAGGCGUCUGCCCAGCAGGUGGGGGUGGUAGGAGGUCGUCUCCCUUGGCGAUCCUGGUGAGCCAGUGGCACUUCUGGGUGGUGUGAUUCGACGGCUUCGCGCCGCUGUGGAACUUGCAAGGUCCAUCCAAGGUCUGCUCAUAGGAGAAGGCCGGCAACCAGUUCAUCUUGCCGCCUUUUUGUCGCUUGGGCGGAGGAUGCUCUUCUGGCUUCUGGGCUUCAACGGUCGCGACCUGCCGGCUGCCGGAAGCCGGCUGCGGGGCCUUGCGCUUGUUGUCGCCCUGCUGUUGUCGCCGGCCGGCGUCUGCCGCCGGAGUUCUUGGAGCCUGAGGAGCUACUUUGCCAGUCAUGUUGAUUUGAAUUUCCGCCUUCAUGGAGGAGUCGGCCGUGGCAUACUUGUCCGCUAUGAUCAGCAGCUCGUCGAGGGUUUCUGGCUCGUAGCAGAGGAGCUUGUGCUUGAGGAGGGUGCCUUCUCAGCACCCGGCUGUGAAGUACUCGAUGGCCUGCACCUCGUGCACGCCCUCGCAGGAGUUCCGGAGCUCAGCCCAACGCGUGAGGUAGUCGCAAGUCGACUCGUCAGGACCUUGCACGCACAAGGAGAGCUGACGAGGCUUGGGAGGACGCUUGUAUGUGCUGGUGAAGUUGCGGACGAACGCUUUAGUGAAGUCGACCCAGCUGUUGAUGCUGCGGGGCUUUAGGUUGUUCAGCCAUGUCCGGGCCGUGCCCUGGAGCAUGAGCGGAACGUAUUUUACGGCGACACGCUUGUUGCCGUUUGCUAUGCUGACAGCCGUGGAAUAGUCGACUACCUAGUCUUCCGGCUUCACGGAGCCGGUAUACUUGGGCGUGUCUCUUGGGAGCGUGAACCCUCUGGGAAAGGGCUCGUCCCAAAUGCGGGGCCCGAAACAAGGCGGACCCAGCUCGUCUUCUUCUUCCAGCGCCAGGGACCGGUGAAGUCGGUCGAUCCGGUGGCGGGCAUCAUUCUCUCCAACUCCCUCUCGGCGGCCAAGGCGGUCACCGAGAGUCAGAUGGUCAACAGGCGGCGGGGAGACUCGCCUCUCCUUGCGGGGAGGGGGAGGCGGACAGUCGUCCCGUCAUUCCACUGCUCUCGGGCGGCCAUGUCGGUCGCGCUCUAUGGUAAUGCGAGUCCGACUGUGGCUGACAGCCGGCUCCUUGUCUUUUCUUCCUCGGGCGCCGCCAGUCGGCGUCCGAGACGUCGCGCCUUGAUCUCGGUGUGGGUCGUUGUUUGGCCGCUGCGGCGCCUCCAUGCGGCAGCCGGCCUCGUUCUGCGCGGCGGCCACGUCGAGGAGCCACUGGACUCGCUCCAUCAUGAGGCGGCGUUCUUCGCCCUCAAAAUUGUCCAGCUCUUCCGCCGCUGCCUGGGCGGCUCGGAUGUUCUCCGCCGGUGUAGCGUACACGGGGCGGCCAGCCCCAAACAGGCUGGCGAUGGCUACGCCGCGCUGCUGGACCGCGCCAAGGCGGCUGGGCCCUGCCGGGGCCGGCGAGCCGCCAAUGGCAUGAUCCAUCUCCCGCUGGUAAGCUUCUGACAAGCGUCUCAUGCUGGCCAGCUUCUUCGCGCCUUCAACGAGCUGAAGGCGGCGCGCUUCUAACGUUUCCGCGUCAGCAUCUUCCGGAAUGGGCGUAAUCAGGUCUUGCAGCGCUGCGCCGAGUGAGUCGGGCGUUCCUCCGCCAGGGAACUCGUCAUGACUGAUGACUAGCACCUCAGUGACGGUGCUUCCGUCGCUUUCUGCGUGGGGGAGAGGUUCAUCGUAGACCACCAUGUUGGUGGGGAACGCGUCGAUCGACGCGGUGUCAGAGUCGACCAGCAUCGGGUCGGUGGAGCCUACGGACUCCAAGUCUAUGGCAGGCUCACCAGAAACGUGGAGUUGAUCGAGGAGGCCCGUGAGGAGGUUUUUGGGGCCGCCCGCGCCUGCGUCGGACGCAGGUUCGUCGGAGAGGCGGACCUCACCGACAAGUUCGGCCAAGGAGCUGGCUGCACAGGCGAUCUCAACGCCGCGCAGCGCAUCGAUGCAAACUUCGCCUGGCGUGCCUGGCUGGCUGCGCUCGCCAGGGAGGAAAAGGGUUCCCGUCCAGAACAGAUCUCCGGACGGCGGUGCACCAGGCCCCACGGUGGGCACCAAAUGUCGGGGGUUUGGUGCGACAUAUGCCAACAGAUGGCUUAUCAUGGAGGGGGCGAGUAGAACGUCGCCGGUGCCUGGAAACGGGAUCAGGUGAAGACAUGCACGCCCGCGAAUCUUACCCAGCUUCGGGGCUCUCCGGGGAGAUAAUACCCCUACUGCUGCUCUGCGGGGUCUAAGCAUUAUCACUAUGGCCAAGUGUUUACACGGUGGCUCCUUGAGCUGUUUCUGGUGGUAGAAGAGGGCAAGGCUAGCUCUCUCCUUCUAUCUGGUAUGGUCUAGAACUACUGGGAUCCAACCCCUUGCAUGGGUGCCCUGGGGGGUUUAUAUAGGCCUACCCCCCAGGGGUACAAUGGUAAUUCGACUGGGCGCGGGCCCAUUCGUUAGUGCCUCCGACCUCUGACUUCUCCGCCAACUGCUGGGGCCCGCCGACUGGUGGGCCCCGCCGACUGGUCUGGUACGGAGCCGACAGGCCGCGUCCGCCGCGGGCGGGUCUUGCCAGCUGCUGAUUACUGUAGUGGCAACAGCCCCGCCGCCUGGCGGGCGAUCACCGUGGCCACUCCCCAUCUCAUCUUGAUUAAUGGCGCGUGGGCCCCGGGGGAGGGCUCGGCCGACUCCCCCGGGCCGACUCUCGACGGGUCCGACUAGCGGUCCUCCCACCGUCUCCCGAGGUCUCGCUGACUGGUGGGCCCCGCUACCUCCAGGCCGUACAGACAAGCCAUCGUGGGCGCAGGACUUGGUACUAUGGUGCUGAUGUCAGGGCCGGAUGGGCAACAGUGCCACGCCGCACGGAGAUCUUCCUGGGUACGGCGUGAUGUGGCCAUGCCUGCCCUUGGUAAGGGGCGGGGAGUGGGCUUCACUGUAGCCACGCCCCUGCCCGUCCCCUCCGAUGAGGUCAUGGUUUGUUGGAGUCGCCGGCUGACUCCCCAAAGCCGGCUUCCCUGGAAGUCGUCCCUGGAACUCGGCCGUGAGCGGGCAGUCGGCCGCCCUGCCGUCGACUCCUCAGGAGACGGCUCUUCAUCCUGGGGUCUUGACGGGCGCAGCCUGCCCCGAUGUCUUGAAAGGUCAUGGGACCCGGGUUGGCCUACCCGUGGCCCAUUACUCCGACAUUCCUGCAAUUGCACAAUAAUGUGCUAUUAGCAAAAAGACCAUGCAUGAGCAAACCUCGAUGGUAAAUCGCAGUGUCUCCCAUUGUUUCCCUGCAACACAUAUAAGGAAGAUCUUGAUCAGGUUAACUGAGAGUUGGCAUACUAUCAGUAGAAUAUGUAUUGAGUACAGCCAAAUUCGAUUUAUUUCUCACAUGCAUAACAAUACAAAAUUGUACCCGCAGCAAAUGAAAAUCAAAUUGCAAAAUUGAACCAGAUAGUUAAAUGGACAGCAGACCAAAUGAACCAAAAUAGUUAACUGAGCAUGACAUUGCAGAAUAGAAACAUGUACUAGAAGAUAAGACAGGUAACAAAACAAAGAAUGCUUGAGAAUUGUACUACAAAAUGUAGCAAUUGUUGGACCAAACUAUUAACUGAACAUUACAUUUCAGAGGACCAAACUUUUAACUGAACAUCAGAUUGCAUAUUAACAUUACAGAGGACAAAUCACUAGAAGGCACUGGCGGUGGCCUCGAGAAAACAGCACAAACUGUAUUUUAAAGUAGACAACCGUGUGGCGGUGUCCACGGUGGCCUCGAAGAAGAUGUGCUCCUCCAAGAUCUGGUGGUCGGCACGCAUGGAAGCCAUAGCAACCUCGUGCGCGCGUGCGGCCAUGAUUUGCUUCUCCGCUGCCAGAGCAACCAAGCUCCAUGUUAUACUGUGUGCAAAAUGGCUAUGUGUGGCACUUAAUUGGAGGUCAUCGAACGGGGCAUGUGGGACGAGGAAGAAGGAGAGGUGUGGGUGGUGUGUGGAUUACCUGACCAUAUUGACAAGGAGGCGAGGAGGCCGCGCAAUAAGAAGAAGGGUCGGCAGCAAGGAGGCGGCGCUGCAAGAAGAAGGGUCGCCGGCGAUCGAGGAGGCGACGCUGCAAGAAGAAGGGACGCCAGCGAGGAUGUGGCGCUGCAAGAAGAAGGGUUGUCGGCGAGGAGGCUGAGCUGCCAGUAAGCAGUAGUGAAGGUUUGAACUUGGAAAGCAAGGAGGAACAAUGGAAAUGUGGCUUUUGGUGGGAGGGAGGGGGGCAGAUAGAUAUUUCCGCGGUGGUACAAAAAAUUUGCUCGGUGCCGCAAGAGACUGGCGCACAAGUGUGGUUCAAGCGCGAGCGGUGGACUGUAGACGACGAAGCUUCGGCGUAAGCCAGACAAGACGGUGCACCAAGAUAUUUUAUAUCGCAUCCCACACGAUUCUUGCUAGUAAACUUUUUGUGGUAUACCUUAUUUUUUCAUGAUGUUUUGAAAGACAAAAUGGUGUUAUGGUGGGAAAGGAUGGUGUUUGAAUUGCUAAAUCAUUUAUGUACAAUGAACAUGCAACUACAUGAGUGUCAUGUUUAAAUUUGGAAUUAUUCCAGGUUCGCUUGGCAUUUUUAUGCAUUAAUUGAGUUUCUAGGCAUUUAAUGUGCAUAAUUCAAUUUUGAACUACAAGCACGUGCUCUAGUGCACCAAAUUUGAACUACAAGCACAUGCUCUAGUGCACCAAAGUUCGGAGUCCCGGAUGAUAUCCCGGACGUCAUGAGGAGUUCCAGAAUGGUCCGGAGGUAAAGAUUUAUAUAUGGGAAGUCAUCAUACGGUCACCAGAAUAAUUCGGGGGUUACUGGUAUUGUACCGGGACCACCGGAGGGGUUCCGGGGGUCCACCGGGAGGGUCCACCUGCCCCGGAGGGCCCUAUGGGCUAUAUGUGGAGAGGGACCAGCCCCUUAGUGGGCUGGGCGCCUCCCCCCCUAGGGCCCAUGCGCCUAGGGUUUGGGGGAACCCUAAAGGGGGGGGCACCCCCUUGCCUUGGGGGGCAAGGCAACCCCCCUUGGCCGCCGCCCCCUCCUCAGAUUGGAUCUGAGGGGGCCGGCCCCCCUCUCCCUUGCCCCUAUAUAUAUGUGGGGGUUGGGAGGGCAGCCGCACCCAAGUUCCGGCGCAGCCCUCCCCCUCUCCCAAGUUCUUCUCUUCUCCUACGCUGCUUGGCGAAGCCCUGCAGGAUUACCACGCUCCUCCUUCACCACCAUGCCGUUGUGCUGCUGCUGGAUGGAGCCUUCCCCAACCUCUCCUUCUCCCCUUGCUGGAUCAAGGCGUAGGAGAUGUCACCGGGCUGUACGUGUGUUGAACGCGGAGGUGCCGUUCGUUCGGCACUAGGAUCAUCGGUGAUUUGGAUCACGACGAGUACGACUCCAUCAACCCUGUUCACUUGAACGCUUCCGCUUAACGAUCUACAAGGGUAUGUAGAUGCACUCCCCUUCCCCUCGUUGCUAGAUUACUCCAUAGAUUGAUCUUGGUGAUGCGUAGAAAAUUUUAAAUUUCUGCUAUGAUCUCCAACACAUGGCACUUGAAAACUUGUUGCUCCAAUGCCUCGAGCCUUGUCUCCAUGCUUCCGGUCCUCCUUGGUCCCUCAACAUCGCGGAUAUGCAGCAACCCCUCACACAUAUCAAUAGUUUGAGGGUUUUGCAGCACCUCCGCGAGGUAGGGGUUGAUGACCUUCUCGAAGAACUUGUCCUUGGGGGCACUUGAAGACGCCAUGGCCAUCUAGAUUUGUCAGAAAAACAGCUCGAAACAAAGACAGAGGAUAUUUGCGUGAUACGGUGGUCAAAACCUUCAGGAGAUUAUAUAAUGAAUUUUUACCGACCAAAAGAAGAAUCGUGCAAGAAAACGGAGUCCGAAGAGCACACGAGGUGCCCACGAGGCAGGGGGCGCGCCCUCCACCCUCGUGAAAGCCUCGUGUCCUUUCCGGUCUGCUUCUUAUUUUCCUAUUUUCUUAAAUAUUCCAAAACGGAGAAAAAUUGCCAUUAGAACUGUUUUGGAGUCGAUUUACUUACCGUACCACGUACCUAUUCCUUUUUGGAUUCUAAAACGUUCUGGAAAGUGUCCCUUAUGUAUUCCUCCGGGGUUACGGUUUCAAUAACAUUGGUUUCAACAUUUAUGGGAUUACCUGACAUAUAAUGUUUGAUUCUUUGACCGUUCACCACCCUCGGAUUUGUGCCUUCGAAGUUGUUGAUUUUUAUGGCACCAGAACGAUAGACCUCCUCGAUGAUGUAAGGGCCUUCCCAUUUAGAGAGGAGUUUGCCUGCAAAAAAUCUUAAACGAGAGUUGUAUAACAAUACAUAAUCACCUACAUUAAACUCAUGUUUUUGUAUCCUUUUGUCAUGCCAUCUUUUAACUUUUUCUUUAAACAGUUUAGCAUUCUCGUAGGCCUGAGUUCUCCAUCCAUCAAGUGAGCUGAUGUCAAAAAGCAUCUUCUCACCAGCCAGUUUGAAGUCAUAGUUGAGAUCUUUAAUAGCCCAAUGUGCCUUAUGUUCUAAUUCAAGAGGUAAGUGACAUGCAUUAUCAUAAACCAUUUUAUACGGAGACAUACCCAUAUGAUUUUUAUAUGCAGUUCUAUAAGCCCAUAAUGCAUCAUCAAGUUUCUUGGACCAAUUCUUUCUAGAUCUAUUGACAGUCUUUUGCAAAAUUAAUUUAAGCUCUCUGUUGGUAAGUUCUACUUGACCACUAGACUGUGGAUGAUAUGGAGAUGCAAUUCUAUGAUUAACAUCAUACUUAGCAAGAAUUUUACGGAAAGCACCAUGAAUAAAAUGUGAACCACCAUCAGUCAUUAAAUAUCUAGGGACUCCAAACCUCGGAAAAAAUAAUUUCUUUAAGCAUCUUAAUAGAGGUGUUAUGAUCAGCACUACUAGUUGGAAUAGCCUCUACCCACUUAGUAAUGUAAUCAACAGCAACUAAAAUAUGUGUAUACCCAUUAGAGGAAGGAAAAGGUCCCAUAUAAUCAAAGCCCCGGACAUCAAAUGGUCCAAUAACAAGUGAAUAAUUCAUAGGCAUUUCUUGACCUCUACUAAUAUUACCAAUUCUCUAACAUUCAUCACAAGACAAAACAAACUUACGGGCAUCCUUGAAGAGAGUAGGCCAAUAAAAACUGGAUUACAAUACCUUGUGUGCAAUUCUGUCUCCAGCGUGGUGUCCUCCAUAAGCUUCGGAGUGGCACUUGCGUAGGAUGUGUUCCUGUUCAUGCUUAGGUACAUAAUGUCUAAUAACACCAUCUACUCCUUCUUUAUAAAGAUGUGGGUCAUCCCAGAAGUAAUGUCUUAAAUCAUAGAAGAACUUUUUCUUUUGCUGGUAUGUGAAACUAGGUGGUAUAAAUUUAGCAAAAAUGUAAUUAGCAUAAUCAGCCUACCAUGGAGCAGUACGAGAAGCAUUUAUGACAGCUAGUUGUUCAUCAGGAAAACUAUCAUCAAUAGGUAGUGGGUCAUCAAGAACAUUCUCUAACCUAGACAAGUUGUCUGCAAUGGGGUUCUCAGCUCCCUUUCUAUCAAUAAUAUGCAAAUCAAAUUCUUGUAGCAAAGAGAACCCAUCUAAUAAGUCUAGAUUUAGCAUCUUUCUUUUCCAUAAGAUAUUUAAUAGCAGCAUGAUCAGUGUGAAUAGUUACUUUAGAAUCAACAAUAUAAGGUCUGAACUUAUCACAAGCAAAUACAACAGCUAAAAAUUCUUUUUCAGUAGUAGCAUAAUUUCUUUGGGCACUAUCUAGAGUUUUACUAGCAUAUUGGAUAACAUUUAAUUUCUUAUCAACUCUUUGUCCUAGAACAGCCCCUACAGCAUAAUCACUAGCAUCACACAUAAUUUCAAAUGGUAAAUUCCAAUCAAGAGAUUGAACAAUAGGUGCAGAAAACAAAUCUUUCUUAAGUAUUUCAAAUGCUUCUACACAGUCAUCAUCAAAGACAAAAUGGACGUCUUUUUGUAAGAGAUUAGUCAGAGGCCGAGAGAUUUUAGAGAAGUCCUUAAUGAACCUCCUAUAAAAACCGGCAUGACCAAGGAAACUUCUUAUACCUUUAAUGUCCUUGGGGCACAGCAUCUUUUCAAUAGCAUCAACUUUAGCUUUAUCAACUUCAAUACCUCUUUCAGAAAUUUUAUGCCCCAAGACAAUACCUUCAUUAACCAUAAAGUGGCACUUCUCCCAAUUCAAGAUAAGAUUAGUUUCUUCACGUCUCUGUUCUCUCCGCCGCCGCCGCCUCCUACGGCCGGAGCAGCGAUGCCAUCCGCAAUCCCGCAUCUGUCCUCCAACGGCUGGAGCCGCACCACCGCCUUCCAUCCCCACGCUCCACACUGCCGCUCUCGGCUCCAUUGUCGCUCGUGCCUGCCUUUCACUCGUACAAAGCCGCAGCAUUGAUGGCUUCAGAGACCACGGCACCCCGGCUGAGACGCGGGCAUGCUUGGCGCUGGUUGGAAGGGGACCGGCAAGGACGUCCUGGUCCUCCCGGCUGAGCUCUUCCACGGCACCCGCAGUGCGACCGGUGCUUACUUGGCCGUCGGCUGGAAGGGGACGCACAUACGUCCUAAUCCUCUAGGCCAAUCUCCUCCAUGGCGCAUGUGCUGCGACCCAGGCCUGCUUGGCGCUGUAUGGGGGGACUCUGAUGGGUGAGGAACUAAGGACAAAGGGAGCUCGGUAGGCAAGGAAUGAUGGAUCUGUGAGAAGAAGGGAGCUCCAUUAUAAAGAAAACAAAACUGAGAGAUAAAAGGAUUAUGGGUUAUUCUGAUGGUUGUUGGUAGUAGCAGGGAUGGUGAAAAUAAAUCUGCGCCAUGUCCUUUUGAGGGCUGCAUGAAGGAGCUGAAAGCCCCGUUCAAAAAUGAAAGGAACUGAAAACUCCAGCCCGGCCCAUCUGUGUGCGAGAGAGCAAAACCAAGUUUAGCAAACGAUGAGCAGGUGAGUGUAAGAUGUUGCAACACAAGAUUGAAAUCUGGUAUUCAAUCAGUCUUGUAUCACGAUUGCUUCAGUGGGCAGUUUAAAUUACAGUCUACUUUUAUUCGGAUUUUUUUACUGAAGUUGCCCACUAUUUGUUACGUGAGGAUCAACAAAGUUAGAUCUUUGUGGGAAUAGUGAAUUUCCUUUUUGUUUGCAUGAGUUACACUUACACUUAAUUAGUAUGGUCAGAUUAGGUAAACUACACAUGGUGAUUUUAUAUGCUCUGACAGAGAACUUUUAAGUGGGUCAAAUUAUCUGUUAAGUUAAUCUAUUUUAGAGAUGAACAUAAUAGCACAUGUAUCUCUAAUUUAAACAUAUUAUGUCCGUUUAUUUCCAUCUACUGUGAAAGAGACAAAGAUACAAGAAGAGGAUCUGUCGAUAUAUGGACUUCCAAAUCUUCGGUUCAAACAUCAAGAGUGGACAGGAUUUAUUAUCUCGUCAGCUCAGGAACAUUAUACUCACCCGCUCUAAGGUCGCCAAGAAUGCAGGGAAAAAGAUGACGAAGGUACUGGUCAUGACCCCCGUCUUGUGCGGCCACCAUGGUGACAGUACACGACCGGAAUUCACAACGGGGCUGAGGUGGAUCCAUGGCAGGAUCUUAAGCAAUUGUGCAUCUCAUGUCAUGUCGAUGUACACGUUGCAGAGUGGGAAGAGUGUCAACAGCGACACGGUGAGGAGCUAAAAACAUACAUAAGGGCAUCUCCAGCCGGCCCCCCAAGACGCCCUCCCAGGCCACUUUUUAGACGCCGGCGGGCAAAAAAAUGCCCCACUCGGGCCCCCAGAAAGCUGUUUUUCGCCGGAUUUGACGAAAGUUAGCGCCGACACACCCACCCCAAUCCCAGACCCCUGGGGGGCAGCUGGGGACGCCGGCAUGUCUUUUUUGCAUGCACAGGCCCACUUGCCAGCCCCUCUUUCUUCCCUCUCUCUCCUCUCUCCUCUCCUUUCUCUUUUUUCUUUCUCUUCUCUCCUCUUCUUUUCCAUCAGCCACCUACCACACACACAGCCGGAGCGGAGCACGCAUGGCCGCGGAGGGGCUCAUGCCCGGCGCGGAGCGGACAGCGCAUGGCCGAGGCGGGGCUCGCGCUCGCCGGCCAUCUUCGACGUCGCCGGCGAGCAGUCCCCUUGCAUCACCACCAGCAGCUUCCCCAGCGCUUCCGGCGCGGCUGCCAGCGCCUCCCUCAUCUUCCGCUCCCCGCCUCCCGCGCAGCAGGACAGCCACAGCAACGCCACCACGGCCUCGCGCCCCAUUUGCCCAUCACGGCCGCCAGCGCGGCUGCAGUGGGCCGCCUCUACUACAACAUCAGCGCGGACUCCGCCGCGGCUGUGGGCGCGGCCGCCACGGCGAGCGCGAGCGCGGGCACUGCGUCGGCUCGGACCAUCGACACUCGGGCGGGCCACGCGCGUACCCGCACAGCCGCGGCCAUGCACAGGAUGGCUGCCGGUGAUGCGGCCUCCUUGAGGAUCCUCACCAGAUCAGUUUCUUGGCAUCUUCGCUGACUCCGCCCGCAUACAAGACGGCAGCCAUGGCCUCCACGGCCAUCUUGACCCGUCCAUGCUUCUCCGUGUCGUCCCGGGUCAGGUAGGGCACCAUCUCCGGCGCCAUGGUGGCCAGGAUCCUCACCGCGUCGACGUGCGCGUCGGUGCCCCUGCCCGCGCACUCCGGCUCCAUGGUGGCCAGGAUCUUAAGCAAUUGUGCAUCUCAUGUCAUGUCGAUGUACACGAUGCAGAGUGGGAAGGGUGUCAACAGCGACACAGUGAGGAGCUAAAAACAUACAUAGUCCUUUCAUGUUUUCUUCCUCGUUAGUUUUCAUAGCUAGUUUUCAUAGCGGUUAUGUUCUAAUAGUAUAACCCCGUUGCUACGCACGGGCAAUUUUCCUAGUACAUGUCAAAGGAUGCAACUUAUAUACAACAAAACCAGACAACUUACAAAUAUCAAAGAAUAUUGCAUAAAAGUUGGCCGCUUUUUCUAAGAGCAUUUAUAACACGAACCAAGUAAGCGUCGCUUACAGAUAUUUGAGCAAUUUUUCAUGUUGAUUUUUACAAAACUUCCCCCUUGGAUGCUAAACUAUAGCUCUAACUGAGUCAAAUACCCCUAAAAAAAUCGAAAUACAACAUCCAUGACAAACACAAUCGAUCAGAAUUCAGACUUCACAUAAUCUCAGUCCAGCAAUUUAAAGCCAGACGCUUGUCAAUGAGCGCCCCAGUAGGGUAUGACGCCCGCGUUGACGCCGACCAUAAAGCCAACCCACAAAAAGAGAGCCACGUAAAACAGGCCGGUCGCCAGCGGCGAGCAGAGCCACGGGCACGCCGGCUCGAAGCCGUCGCCCUCGUCGCGCACGCCAUCCUCCGCCUUCGGGUACGCCUUCCUAGCCGCCUCGUACUGCCGCUCGUCGUCGAAGUACGCCGCCGAGCCGCUGUGGUACCAGUAGCCGCCCACCGGUCCCUGGAACGCGCCCAGUGGCGGCAGCCUGGGGCACGCCCGCGGCCCGCCGGCGCCGGACCUGGUGACGAGCACGGUGGGGCAGGGCUCCCUGCAGAUGCAGCACCGGCGGCUGGCGUGCUGGGACUUGGAGCCGGCGCGCAUGCGGACCGCGCAGUCCGAGCAGACCUCGCGGUGGCCGCACGGCCCGAUCGCCACCCACUCGAGCGGCUCCAUGCACACCCCGCACUCUGAUGGCUCGGCGGGCGCCGCGUCGACGUGGCAGGGAUAGGCCGGAGACGCGAGCUGGUCGCCGACGUGCUUGGCUCCGCCGACGUCGAUGUCGAUGACGUGGCUUGGAUUGCUUGGAGAGGCGAGCUGAUGGCCGGCGAGAGGCCCCGUGUGCUUGGCGCCUCCGCCGACGUCCAUGUCGAUGGCGUGGCCGCCGUUGCCGCCGUCGACCUGAGCCAUGGUCGAGUUUACUACACGAUCGAUGGAGAGUGGUUACGUCGAUGUACCUCACUACCUCUAUGCCCUAGACUAGCAGAGCCUGGAUUCCCAUGGCGCCGCUUGCUAAUUGCACCCAAUGUCACGUACGUACACGCCAUAUAUAGGCUCGUGAUCCGACACCCGGCUGAACUGGCUUCCGGUUCGAAUUGACGUGGGGAAGAAGCGUUGAUGAUCGGAGUAGGAAGAGGGUUAGACCAUCGAUCCGACUCGACCGUGUCACCAAAGCUGACCGCAGUGCGCACGGGACGAAGGGGAUCGAUGACAAUUUAGUGGAUUUAUUAUUACGUUUAUUAAAAAAAGCACAGCAAUUCAGUGGAUUUACGAGUCUUUCUUUGCAAAAAAAUAGGAACUUCAUCUAGAAAAAGACAUUCAGAGAAACAGUGGGCAUUAUAUCGAGGGGGGUAGAGAGAGCCAUACACAGCAUCAACAAACAUUCAGAAGGGUUUUUAAUGGUAUCGUACAUCAUCUCUGCUGCUAAGCAUAUAAGAAUGACUUUGACAAAAUUUCUACUUUUUCUAUCAAGAGGCGCAACGAGUUGCACGGCUGACAAAAAUCUUCCGGUAUACAAAUUCACUUCCCAGUCUCUCUCAUCAACCGCGAGAAAAUAGUAGUAGAAACUACAAACUAACACUUACGGAACACAUGAUUAAUCUCUAACCAGCGUCAGGAUCUCUUAAAACCGCCUUUGCUCCCUCGGCUUCGA
rnacentral:lncRNA from 1 species